rnacentral:rRNA from 1 species
AUGUUCUAUGGAAGUAUUCCCAGGCAGCUAUCUCAACUGUCCCAUCUUCAACUGCUUGAUCUAGCUGAAAAUAAUUUCAUAGGUUCCAUACCAGAAAGCUUUGUCAACUUUUCCUUGAUGAGACAGACAUCCAUAAAGCAGCCGGUUAUAAUAAGUAGCAUAUUAUAUACUACUACCAACCAUGAAGAUUUUGAAAAUGGUCGCAUGGACAUAACUUGGAAGGGACGUGAGUACACCUUUCAGGGAAGAGAUGCAUUUGUGACUGGUAUUGAUCUCUCUGGCAAUUCUCUCUGUGGUGAAAUUCCUUCAGAGUUGACAAAUCUUAGAGGCAUCCAGUUACUAAAUCUGUCAAGAAAUUAUCUAUCUGGUGGUAUCCCGAAGGACAUUGGCAGUCUAAAGUUGUUAGAAUCCCUCGACCUCUCGUGGAACAAACUAUCAGGUCCUAUUCCUCCUAGCAUAACAAACUUGAUAUUCCUCACCUCUCUUAAUCUCUCGAACAACCUUCUAUCCGGAGAAAUACCUGCAGGCAAUCAACUCCAAACAUUGGACGGCCCUGCAAUUUAUAGCAAUAACCUGGGACUUUGUGGCUCUCUGUUGAACAUUUCGUGUAAAAAUAGUUCAAGUCUGACGACCACUUCACAUCAAGAUCUUGAAGCCAUUUGGAUGGACUACUCAGUGAUUGCUGGGACAGUUUCUGGUUUGUGGUUAUGGUUUGGUACACUGUUUUUCUGGGAGAUCUGGAGAUGCGCUUUCUUGAGUUGCAUAGAUGCCAUGCAACAGAAAGUUAUGAACAAGAUGAAGCAUACCUGGGAGUAUAGGAAGCUGUCCAAGUAUUGA